ensembl:lncRNA
CUUUCUGGCUUUCUUUGAACAGUUGUUAAUGAUUGUCCAAUAAAGUCAUGAGUGUUGCUGGUGUCUUGAAGUAGGGUGGAGUGCACGCAAGAGAUGGAGACAGGCCACUUUUUAGAGCUCUUUACGACCCCCUGGAGACCCUUGAUUAUGCCGUGCCAGGGCAAAGGGCAUCCAGAGAGCAAACCCAGGCCCUUUACCAGAUCUCAAAGCUUGUGACAGUUUAGACAGCAGAGAACAGCCAAGAACUGACUGAGUGUUAAUUGAAGGCGGUCUAUAUUACAGUGUCCAAAAGAAAGAGACCGUCCUGCCUGACUAAAGUAAGUGAUUGCAUUCAACAUUUACUGGCAAACCCAAUCUGAGUCUUAUGCGCUUUUUCCACGCACCACCUCAGUUGUUUCAUAGAAGCUCUGAAGCACUAAUUACUUGACUGUUUAGUAAAAAAAUAAAAUAAAAUAAAAAACUAUCCUGUUACAGGGAGCUAGAGAGGAAGAGAAAGGAAUGGGAAGGAGGAAGGUAGGAUACGGAGAGAGUUAGCAAAGGGAAAAAAGGGUGUUUGUCAGGAAAUUUAUUCCACAUGUAGUCGUGCAGGACUGCUCAGUCACGUGGAGUGUACCUCGUUGAGCUGCAGUGGACAGGGAACCCUGCUAUUAAUCUGAAGAUGUGACGGGUCGAACCACUUCCAUAUCCGGGGGCCGGCUGUGAGGUCCAUAACAGAAGCAGUGAAAGGGAACAUUCUGGAUGUGCUCAGCACCAACUGGAUGAGAGUUCCUGAAUUAGGAUGGAAAAAACUAUAUAUGAAAAGCUCAGGAUUGCUGUGCAAUAGUUUUAUGAUGCCAUAUGUUCUUUUACUUUAUUUAAACUGAAAAAAGGAAAAUAAAAAUAAUCAGUAUUUUUGGCUUGUUUCAAACAUCAAAACAUUCUUAAAACAAGAUAAAUUUUCUUUGUAUAAAAUGCUAAGAUUGUGUUAGAUACUUUAGUGAUUGUAUGCUAAAUUGUAUUUAUUAUUAUUAUUAUUAUUUACACUUCAAAAAGGAUUUUCUUAGUAUUUUUGGCUUGAUUUCUAGUACAAAUAUCUAAACAUUCUUGAAUUAAGAUAACUUUACUUGAGAAGCAAAAUGACUAUAGACAGUAAGUUUUCUUCUCAAGAAAACUUACUGUCUCUUGAUUUAAAAAUGUUUAAAUAUUUGUAAUGGAAAACAAGACACAAAUAGUAUGUAAGAAAAUCAUUUUUUGGCAGUACAUUUUUUUUUUGCUAAUAAAACUAACAAAAUUAAGUGUAGUUUAUUCUUAAAAUAAGAAAACUAUUUUCCAAUUUUACUUCUGAAGUUAAUCUUGGUUUAGCAAUGUUU